CGGCUAACUCCGUGCCAGCAGCCGGCGGUAAUACGGAGGGUGCAAGCGUUAAUCGGAAUUACUGGGCGUAAAGCGCACGCAGGCGGUCUGUCAAGUCGGAUGUGAAAUCUCCCGGGCUCAACCUGGGAACUGCAUUCGAAACUGGCAGGCUAGAGUCUUGUAGAGGGGGGUAGAAUUCCAGGUGUAGCGGUGAAAUGCGUAGAGAUCUGGAGGAAUACCGGUGGCGAAGGCGGCCCCCUGGACAAAGACUGACGCUCAGGUGCGAAAGCGUGGGGAGCAAACAGGAUUAGAUACCCUGGUAGUCCACGCCGUAAACGAUGUCGACUUGGAGGUUGUGCCCUUGAGGCGUGGCUUCCGGAGCUAACGCGUUAAGUCGACCGCCUGGGGAGUACGGCCGCAAGGUUAAAACUCAAAUGAAUUGACGGGGGCCCGCACAAGCGGUGGAGCAUGUGGUUUAAUUCGAUGCAACGCGAAGAACCUUACCUACUCUUGACAUCCAGAGAACUUUCCAGAGAUGGAUUGGUGCCUUCGGGAACUCUGAGACAGGUGCUGCAUGGCUGUCGUCAGCUCGUGUUGUGAAAUGUUGGGUUAAGUCCCGCAACGAGCGCAACCCUUAUCCUUUGUUGCCAGCGGUUAGGCCGGGAACUCAAAGGAGACUGCCAGUGAUAAACUGGAGGAAGGUGGGGAUGACGUCAAGUCAUCAUGGCCCUUACGAGUAGGGCUACACACGUGCUACAAUGGCGCAUACAAAGAGAAGCGACCUCGCGAGAGCAAGCGGACCUCAUAAAGUGCGUCGUAGUCCGGAUUGGAGUCUGCAACUCGACUCCAUGAAGUCGGAAUCGCUAGUAAUCGUAGAUCAGAAUGCUACGGUGAAUACGUUCCCGGGCCUUGUACACACCGCCCGUCACACCAUGGGAGUGGGUUGCAAAAGAAGUAGGUAGCUUAACCUUCGGGUAGGGCGCUUACCACUUUGUGAUUC
rnacentral:rRNA from 1 species